UAAUACGUAGGUGGCAAGCGUUGUCCGGAAUUAUUGGGCGUAAAGCGCGCGCAGGCGGUCUUUUAAGUCUGAUGUGAAAGCCCACGGCUCAACCGUGGAGGGUCAUUGGAAACUGGAAGACUUGAGUGCAGAAGAGGAGAGUGGAAUUCCACGUGUAGCGGUGAAAUGCGUAGAGAUGUGGAGGAACACCAGUGGCGAAGGCGACUCUCUGGUCUGUAACUGACGCUGAGGCGCGAAAGCGUGGGGAGCAAACAGGAUUAGAUACCCUGGUAGUCCACGCUGUAAACGAUGAGUGCUAAGUGUUAGAGGGUUUCCGCCCUUUAGUGCUGCAGCUAACGCAUUAAGCACUCCGCCUGGGGAGUACGACCGCAAGGUUGAA
rnacentral:rRNA from 1 species